rnacentral:ncRNA from 2 species
GCAUCAACCCGGCUUGAUGGUUCUCUCUCCGUUGGGGAGCGAUGUAAAAGGGAACCGGGUGCGGUGCCGCAUUGCGUGGACAUCAAGGCCCGGGCUGUCCCCGCAACUGUAAGCGGCAUGCUCUGCCUACUGGCUGGUAAGUCAGGCCACUGGGAGGUUCUCCUGGGAAGGCUUGGGCAGAGUGGACUACCGCAAGCCAGGAAACCUGCCAUCAGCUGGGGUCGCAG